CAGUAGCCGCGGUAACACGUAGGGUGCAAGCGUUAAUCGGAAUUACUGGGCGUAAAGCGUGCGCAGGCGGUUUUGUAAGACAGAGGUGAAAUCCCCGGGCUCAACCUGGGAACUGCCUUUGUGACUGCAAGGCUAGAGUACGGCAGAGGGGGAUGGAAUUCCGCGUGUAGCAGUGAAAUGCGUAGAUAUGCGGAGGAACACCGAUGGCGAAGGCAAUCCCCUGGGCCUGUACUGACGCUCAUGCACGAAAGCGUGGGGAGCAAACAGGAUUAGAUACCCCCGUAGUCCCUGUCUCUUAUAC
rnacentral:rRNA from 1 species